rnacentral:rRNA from 1 species
AGCGAACGCUGGCGGCAGGCUUAACACAUGCAAGUCGAGCGGGCCUUUCGGUUUCAGCGGCGGGCGGGUGAGUAACGCGUGGGAACGUGCCCUCUGGUUGGGAAUAACUCAGGGAAAACUGCGCUAAUACCGGAUAAGCCCUUGUGGGGAAAGGAUUGCUGCCGGCGGGUGGGGCCGCGUCUCUUUAGCUCGUUGGUGAGGUGAAGGCUCACACAGGGGCCGAUCAGUAGCUGGUCUGAGAGGAUGCUCAGCCACACUGGGACGGAGACACGGCCCAGACUCCUGGGGGAGGCAGGAGUGGGGAAUAUUGGACAGGGGGCGCGAGGCUGAUCCAGCCAUGGCGCGGGAGUGAUGAAGGCCUUAGGGUUGUAAAGCUCUUUUAGCCGAGACGAUAAUGACGGUACCUGAGGAAUAAGCCCCGGCUAACUUCGUG